ACUACGGGAGGCAGCAGUGAGGAAUAUUGGUCAAUGGCCGAGAGGCUGAACCAGCCAAGUCGCGUGAGGGAAGACGGCCCUACGGGUUGUAAACCUCUUUUGUCGGGGAGCAAAGCGAGUCACGUGUGACUCAUCUCGAGUACCCGAAGAAAAAGCAUCGGGUAACUCCGUUCCAGCAGCCGCGGUAAUACCGGGGGGGCAAGCGUUAUCCGGAUUUACUGGGUUUAAAGGGCGCGUUGACGGUUAUGUAAGGUCGGCGUGAAAACCCGGGGCCCAACCCCGGGACUGCGUUGGAGACUGGCUAACUGGAGUACAGGAGAGGCAGGCGGAAUUCGUGGUGUAGCGGUGAAAUGCGUAGAUAUCAGGAGGAACACCGGCGGCGAAGGCGGCCUGCUGGACUGAAACUGACGUUGAGGCUCGAAAGCGUGGGGAGCAAACAGGAUUAGAUACCCCAGUAGUC
rnacentral:rRNA from 1 species